AACGAACGCUGGCGGCAUGCCUAACACAUGCAAGUCGAACGAACCCUUCGGGGUUAGUGGCGCACGGGUGCGUAACGCGUGGGAAUCUGCUCUUUGCUUCGGAAUAACAGUUAGAAAUGACUGCUAAUACCGGAUGAUGUCUUCGGACCAAAGAUUUAUCGGCAAGGGAUGAGCCCGCGUAGGAUUAGGUAGUUGGUGGGGUAAAGGCCUACCAAGCCGACGAUCCUUAGCUGGUCUGAGGAGAUGAUCAGCCACACUGGGACUGAGACACGGACCAGACUCCUACGGGAGGUAGCAGUGGGGAAUAUUGGACAAUGGUCGCAAGCCUACUCCAGCAAUGCCGCGUGAGUGAUGAAGGCCUUCGGGUCGUAAAGCACUUUUACCAGGGAUGAUAAUGACAGUACCUGGAGAAUAAGCUCCGGCUAACUCCGUGCCAGCCGCCGCAGUAAAAC
rnacentral:rRNA from 1 species